GAUUCUGUGUAUGGCAAAGUGUUAUUAACAAAAAUACGAAACUUCGGCGGUUAAGAAUCUAUUUCCUGUGUUGACAACUUUGGUGACAGGUGGCAAGUAGGCCGACGGUGGGUUGUUGUUGAUCACUCAAUAAGCCUACCUCAGGAACGUGUCCUUAUUGUGAAGGUCUGACACCAUGUUUAGCAAUGAGGACAGGAAGGGAUUUUACCAGCAGAUGUCAACAUGGUGAAUUGAUCCCCGAAAAGCUUUUUAGAAUGAUAUAAUAACUGUGUUCAGGAGAGAAAAAAACGGGAUAAAAAGAAUGUUGCUCUACAAAAUAUGUGUUUUCUAGCACUACAAAGAUAAGUGUGUCUGUAUAUUGUACUUGUGAUUCAUAUGGAGAACUAGAGUACCAGGUAUGUGUUAAAAUAAGGUUUGUGUACAUGUAAUUUAUCAGCCACUUUGUGUUUUAUGAGGGUAUAAAACAUCCUCAGGACAGAUAUGCUGUAACGCCAUGUCGAGAUCGUGUUUGUGAUUAAGAACCACUGUGAUAGAGAUUGUUGAAUUAUUUGACCAACCAACAUGUAUGAGCCAGAUCAGCACGCUUCCACAGAGGACAUGGAGGCCUUGGCCGUACAAAAGGCCCAGGAGCUGUUCCAAGUCUGUGACAAGGAACAGAAAGGCUUCAUCAACAAAAAGGACAUGCAGAGGCUACAAAAAGAGCUUGCUCUCGACCCAGAUCAGCUGGAGGCUGUGUUUGACUCGCUGGACGAUGAUGGCAAUGGCUUCCUCACACUGGAGGAGUUCAUAGAGGGAUUUGGGAGCUACUUGGGGUUUAAGUCGACUGAUGUGAAGGAGACGCAACAGGAAGAUGAGAACGUGUACGAGGGCGUAGAUGAGGGGACAGAUGAGAUCCUCUUUAAGGAAAUGCUCAACAAUGUGGGAGCCUCCAGGUUGUACGAUGAUGAGAACGCCAUCCAGGGGUUGUGGACACGGUUACGAAAAGAAGAUGGUGACAUGGCUUCUAACUUUGAAGAUUUCCUCUACAAAGUCUCCAAUGACAUUCGCAAGUCAAAGGUCGACUUUGAGACGUUGGAAUCAGCCCUGAAAAGUAAAUCUUUGGUACAUGAUGAAGAAGUGAGAAAAUUGUACGAGGAGAUGGAACUACAGAUCAAACAGGAGAAAGAACGCAUCCUCGCAGAGGAGCAGUUGAAGGAACAGCAGAUCAAAGAAGCUAUGGAUGCAGAAAUGAAAGAAAAAGAUAAACAGCUCCAGGAUCUAUUACUUAAACACCAGGAGAUGGAGGAAAAACUGUCAAGGCUGAACAUGACUGAAAGUGAAACAAAACAAGAAAAUGAAAAACUGCAAAGGGAGAAGGAGGAUCUCCAGAUUAUGCUGCAAAAGUCUGAGGAAGGACUAGAGGAGUCCAAGUCCUACAUAGACCAGCUCCGCAACGUAUCAAAGGACGAGAAACGUGAGAGAGCACGGGCAGCGCUGAAGGUGACGGAGGGUAUUGCACUGGAGAGAGAGAGUCUUGUCAAACAGCUUGAUUCCCUCAGGGACAUAAACCAACAACUCCGGGAUGACAAGGAUGAAGCGGAGACAAGGCGGGAGGAUCUUAGUGGCUCCUCCGUGGGUGAGGAACUCCACCAGAUUUUUGAAACAGAAGCAAGAACUCAGCCGUCAGCGGCCAAGCGUCGUGACCAGCUAUCUAAGCAGGGCUCCAUCCUCGGUAACUACUUCCCCGCCAGCAGGGGGCAACCAUCAUUCGGGGAGUCGGUAUCCGAGGACACACCAGAUGUAGAGGAGGAUGAUGACAUUGAAGUGGAUUAUGACGAUGACCAGGAGGGUCAGAUUAGAAGUAGUAAUUAUAAUACAUUAUCAAACAUAGUAGAAUCUAGAAAUGUGUCAUAUCAUCAUAACGGUCAUAACAGUGAAUCACGGAAGGUCAGUGGUAGUCAAGGCAACACAAGUGAGGGUGAUUCGGAUGAGAAAAGCCCAAAUGAUAUGUCUUCCGGAAGGAGUCGUAAAGUGCGCAAAACGAAACGAAGGCUGCUCCCUGGAACAGUAGCUGUCCAGUCACGGCAAGACAGCUUGCCCAGGUCAAGCGCUAGCAUAGAUAGCACUUCUGAUGGAGAUGGAGAAAUCUCUGCCAGGGAUCCUGAUGUUGGGGAGCUGGAUGUGGAUACCCAGGGGCAGGAUGACUUAAAUGAUAGCCAGGCGAUGUAUACGUCACGGCAAACGAGUCAAUUAGAGCAAAAUAAGGUGAUUGAAUCAAACGAGCAUUUUGUUGAAAAGUUUGAGAACAUUUUAGAGGUGAAACCAAAAGAAACGUUAGUUAGGAAACCAAUGGAAAAAUCUGAGGAGUUUGGUGUGGAGGAAAAGAAAACAUCAGAUCAAUAUGUAGAAACACCAUUGAGGAAAUUGGAGGAAAACAUGGUGGUUGAUUCAAAGGAGCUGUUUAUUGAAAAAUCUGAGGAUAUAUUGGAGGUAAAACCAAAAGAAACGUUAGUUAGGAAACCCAAGGAAAAAUCUGAGAAGUUUGGUAGGGAGACAAAGGAAUUGUCAGAUCAAUCUGUUGAGACAUCGUCGAGUAAGCUAGAGCAACAACAGGUGAUUGAAUCAAAGGAGCUGUUUGUUGAAAAGUCUGAGGAUAUAUUGGAGGUAAAAGCAAAAGACACUUUGGUUAGGAAACCAAAAGAGAAACCUGAAAAGGAAGUAGCUAUGAUGGAAAAGGAAUCAUCAGAUCCCAAUUUGGAAAAACCUGGAAAAAAUGUUGAAGUUGUGUUGACAACAAAUGCCAUUGUGGAGGUAAAUGAGAAAUUCCAAGUUGAGCGAAGAGAAGGAUCUGAGACACAUGUUCUGGGAAAUUUAAAGGAAAUAGGAAUUAUAGAUUCAAUGCAAGAACCAGGAGCUAGGACAAUUGAUAAUAGUGAGAAAGUAUCAGAAAUCACAGAAAAUGAAAUAUUGGUAAGGGAAUCUAAGGGGAAGGAAAGAGAUAAACUACAGAAAAAUUUGGAUGAACAAAUGACGGAAAGCGAACAUAUCACAGAAAAAUUACAAGGAAAUUCCAGUGAGAAAAUGGAUGUCAAAACAUUACAGCAUUUAGAGGAGCAACUGGAAGAGAGUAAGAUGAAAGAAAAGGUGAUUGUAUCGAAGAGCUCAUCAGAGGAGGACUCUGAGAUUGACACGACUGUGGAGCUGAACUACAAGUACUCCGUCACAGACGAACAGGUGGACAUCAAUGAUCUGGUCAAGGAAAACAGUGUCAAUGAAGUGACUAAUGAGCCAGGGGAAGAAACGGAAACGCACUCAGUAAGCAGUGAUGUAAAAGUUGGGGAGGAUAUAGAGGAAUCGGCAGCUCCACAGACCGUUUAUAGAAAACCCAGUUCUUUGGAGGCCAAGGGUGAAGGGAAGAGGGUAACAAGUCAUACAGAACUGACCGACAGAAGAGAGAGUGUGGAGGAAGAUGCUGGUUCUCCUGGUGAAAUAAUGGCCACAGUGAAUAGUAAGGCAAAGCAAGGCAGUGACAAGGAAGAGCUAGCGAAGUGGAUUGGUACUGAAGGAACAAAUGUAACAGUGGAAAACAAAGAUAAAAAUAACAUUGGUGCAGAGGAAACACAGAAGAUGGCAGGACCCUUAGAUGGGGAAAAACAUGGCACAAUCAAUCAGCUUACAGAUCUGGAUGGAAAUGAUAAACAGGCACCAUAUCCAACACUAGGUAGUGAAGAGGAAAGUAGAGAAAUCAGAGAUGUUCUUGGAGGCAUUCAGAAAGAAGACAACCCGAGUUUGGAAGAGUCCAUCAAUACUCCUGGUCAGAGCUCAAUUACUACAGAUGAAACUGCUCUUGUUACAAUCAAUCAACUGUCAAGGGAAACAACAGACACAUCAAAUCAGCUUUCUAUAGAAACAACAGAUACAGCCAAUCAGCUCUCAGUGAAAACAACAGAUACAGCCAAUCGGCUCUCAGAGAAAACAGCAGAUACAGCCAAUCAGCUCUCAGAGAAAACAGCCAAUCAACUCUUGGAGAACACAGAUACAGCCAAUCAGCUCUUCGUAGAAAAAACAGUUACAGCCAAUCAGAUUACAGAGAAAACAACAGAAACAGUCACACAACUCUCAGAGAAAACGACAGAUACACCCAAUCAGGUCUCAGAAAACCAAACAGAUACAACCAAUCAACUUGCAGAUGUGACGUCAAUUAGAAGUGCUGAAAAGUCAGAAACAGAUGUGACUGUAGACAAUACUAAGACUAGAUUUGUCAGGUUAGGGAGAGUAGGGGAGGAUACGACAGAACAAAAAGACGAAGAAAAUAUCCCUGAAAGAGAUGUCCGAUUUGAUGAGACACAUGACCAAAUAACAAAAAAUGAAGCAGACCUGAUGGAUCAUAGCAAAGAUACGAGUAGAGAAGAUGUGCAAGUUAAACGUGGAACAGUUGGUGCUAAAAAUAAACAAAGAGAAACUGAAAUUGAUGCCACUUUGAGAGAAGAAACAAGCAGAAAGCUGAAAAAUGGAAAAGAACUAUCACUGGUGGAUCUUCAGAGUAAGAUGGAUGUUCAUCCAGACCUCGAGUCUACAGACAGCCUGCCAUUGUCUGAUUUAGACCGUCAGAGUAAGAUGGAUGUCCAUCCAGACCUCGAGUCUACAGACAGCCUGCCAUUGUCUGAUUUAGAUGGUCUCCAACCAUCUGAUAUGGUCUCAAAGGAUCUUGAAACAUCUGCUGCUAUUACUGAUGAUUUUCAAACCUCUACUACUGUCGUUAAGGAUCUGCAGACUUCUGCUGCUUUUGCUAGAGAGUUUCAGACUGAUGAAACUGCUGUAAAUGAGAUUCAGACUUCAGUAAAGGUUGCUAAGGAGAUUCAGACAAAUGUUACCGUUGCUAAAGAGAUUAAGACUGCCGUACCUGCUGAUAUGGAGAGUCUCUCCACCACAGAGGUAGAUGGAAAUCUCCAGUCUGCUCAAGCAACACAUGAUCUUCACACUACUGUUGUAGAUACUACAGAUGAGCAUUCUCUUGUGGAUGUCAGGAAGGCUAUGCCAUCAGGUUCUCUGGAAGUGGCUGACAAUAUUAGCCGGGAAAUCACCACAACUCUGAAUUCUGUUGUGGAUGUCAGGAAGGCUAUGCCAUCAGGUUCUCGGGAAGUGGCUGACAAUAUUAGCCGGGAAGUCAGCACAACUCUGAAUUCUGUUGUGGUGUCUGAAGGUCUUCAGUCUACAGCAGAUCUCCAAUCCCCUUUGGGUGUCACAAUGGAUCUGCAGUCUGCGUUAGACUUAGUGGAGGUUAUGGAUGACAAACAGUUGUCUGUAAAAGUCGCCGGAGACAGACAGUUUUCUGAACCAAAAGGUAAAGGGCCUGUUGAUACUAAAUCAAGUCCAAGCUCCACCGUAGCAGACACUGGUACAAACAAUAAUGCUGUAUACACAAAUCUGAAAGCUGGUCUAGAAUCGAUACAAGUUCUUGAAAGUAUUGAAACAAGUAACACACCCGCCUAUAUGGAUCUGAAGGAUGCUUUAGAUUCUGUUCCUGAAAGUCCUGAAACAGACGCAGAUUUGAAGGAUGUACCUAACAAACCAGCUGCAGAUUUGUAUCUUAAAACUGCUACAGAGCCAGAGGUUGAAACAAAGAAUACACAGUACACAGUCCCAGUAGAAAGUCAGUCCCCUGGAGUUAAAACAAAUCAAAUGAAUGAUGAUACAAGCAUCAAUAGGAAGUUUAACACAGAAAAUAAUUCAUCGGAAAUUAUUGAUAGCAAGAUUUUGUCCUUUUUGGAGGUCAAACUUCCAGAGGAGGUUUUAUCAGAGGUGGAUGAACAAGACAAGGGUGUCCAAGGAAAAGCAGACACCGGUAUAACUGAGGAGGAAAAAGACACGACCAAGUCCACUGACGACAAUGUUUCUAUAGAUAUAUCUAUCAAAGAUCAGCAAGGAAAAACAGGUGUGGCUUCAUUUCAAAUGAAACCAGAUGCUGAUUCUGAUACUGAAAAUACUGAGGAUAAAGAUGAUACAUUUUCUACAACCAUGAUCAUAUACACUAACAAAUUUGAAGGUUGUGAUGAGCAAACAAGAAUGGAAGAGACCAGAGAAGCUCUAGAGAGCACAGUCUUGUCUUACCCAGAGCCCAAGUAUUACAGCUUUAUGCCUUACAACAAAUCCAAGCCUCUGUACGGCACCCUAACGACCUCUGGGCUGCAGGGUCACACACCAUCAGGUCGCGACCUUUCAUCACAGGCCAUGUUCCGAUCUCCUCGGUUAACAGCCCAAACAAAUGGAGUGUUCGAUGGGAGCCUGUCCUCUCGUGUGAACUCCAUACCGGACCAUUGUCAUGGGAAGGUUGUGGACAGAAAAGGAAACAAAUCUGUUCAUUUCCAGGACAGUGACGGCACUAUCUACAAACCGCCACACACCUUGGCCUCUCCCCAAAUAACAGAGGAAUCGGCCGUGAGUAGAGAAUCAAGUCUUCAAGGCAUCACUCCAAAACUCCAUGUAAUCCAACAGGGUCAAGAAGAACAAAAGGAAGCAACUCCUGACACAGCAGUUGUCUCUGGAACAAAGGUUGAAAUAAUGAGUGAAGAAAAACCAUCUGUUGUUCCGGAAAAAACGAAAAAGAAAUCGCUUUUCUCAAGUCUGUCCUAUAUUUUACCCAGUGUUCCCUUUGCCCGUGGCAUUAUCUUGGAUACAUGGGAAGGAGAGGAGGUCACGUUUCGUGGUGAACUUGGAGACAUUCUCGAUGAUGAUAAUGAAGGGGCCAAUUCCGGAGCACCUUCAAAAGAGCAAGUAGCUUUUUGCUCCUUGACAAGUGUAUGCAUGUCACUAUUUAUCGAGCUGUGUAUGUAUAUCAUGCCUGGUGCCGCCUGUAUAAUCAGAUGCUACAUAAACUGUACUCCAGGACUCAUUAUUCUAUAUACAGACUCGUAUAACCAGCCAUUGUACUGCGCAUUGACUGUUUGUAUGGAAGUUAUUCUGCUGCAUAUGACACUCUCAUCUAAUUGUGCUUUAAAAUGUCUUUCCUAUGCGCAUGAAAUCUUGUCAGAAUGUGGAAUGGACAGAUCACUUUGACAGAUGAAUGCACACCUUGUGGUCAGUGACAAAGGACAUGUGCCACAUAUUAAACAUUUGUGCUCUAUUCCUAUGGCAAAUAUAACUGGAUAACUGUGGUACUAGUGUUGUUGUCCUGAUCUUAACAAACCAGGACACACAGAGUGGAAUACAGUUGAAGUGGAAUAGGACCUGUAAGUGUACAUGUGGUGAUGGUGGUUGUAUGGUACUGUAAUCAUACUUUAUAUCUGAGGUGGCUCUGGAGCUCGGGAUACACCUGUCAGCUUAGGAAGCAUGGCUUGUCAUCAUUAAUGUGUAAAGGAGCCCUGAUGAGUCGGUGACCAAUGGUCCACGAGGACAACCUGUAGGGGCUGUGGAAUCUGAUGGAGAGGCCAUCGAGCCUGUGAUGACCU
rnacentral:misc_RNA from 1 species